UCAGUAAAUCUGUUGUCAACACAUUGCAUUGGAUUUUUUCUCUAUAUAUAUAUAUGUGCAAGUUGCUAUUUACCCUUGAGUCUCAGUUUCUUCCUUCACAAUCUGCCUGUCAGAAUAUUCAAACAUUCAGAAUAAGUAAUUCUGAAGGACACAGAGAUUUGGGAAGCAGACCCUCCCUCCCUUCAAUCAGUUGUCAUGCUCUCUUCAGGCUGAAAUUGUCAUCAUUGCUACAGCCUUAACUGGGCUUGACAGUAGCUGCAUUUGUGCGUGUUGGUCUUCAUCUUUUCUGGCUAAAGCCUUGGACCUGAGUCUGCUUAUUUUGAUUCAAUAUUCAUAAGGGAUAGUAAACUUGCUAACAAAGUUUGGCUUCACCAUUAUUUAGAGUAGCAGCAGAAGAUCUAGACUCUACUAAAGAUCAUCUCAAGUUGAUAGGAAGACAGUGAAUCUUUUCAAAACCCUAGAUUUUGCAACAUUCCUCUUAACAUCUGAAUUUCAUGCCAAUGAAAUUCAGAUGUUAAAGUCUUCUCUUUGUGCACACUAUAAUUUGAAGCAGAUUAUUUCACAUAUUUAAUGGGUCAAUGAAAACUUUUUUGUUUUUUUUUCUUCUUGCUGUAAGGAUGUGGCAAACUCCAUUUUUCUGUCAGAUUUGAGUAACAGAACUUCUUCACUUGCUCAACAUGUUCAUUUCCAUUCAGUAAUGCUGCUGUCAACUGUCAUCCACAGUGUCUGAGCCCACACUGGCUUCAGCCACUUGCAUUGCUACUAGAAACCACAGACUCAGCAAUAAGGAUGUCAUCAGCGUACUUGAGAUUACAACAUCUCCUUCUGCCAAUGUUAAUACCACUAUGGCAACCAUCAACAGCAAUACACAUUAUUAUUUCACUAUACAUAUUGAGCAGAUGUGACAGCCUUGUCAAACUCCUUUCCUGGUGUCCAACUACUCCGUUAUACCUUCUGCUGCUUUGACUACUCUUCUCUGGCCAUGAAAAGAGAUGGCACAAGUUGACCAUGUGUGUAGUAAAGCACAUUUUGCAAUGUCCAGAAGUGGCUCCUAUUUCUGUGUAACAUACUAAACUAAGGUUUUUAAAAACAGUUGCUAAAAUAUAAAUGCAGUAGAGUUACUACUUCAUUUUUUUAAAUAACAAAUUCAUGAUUAAAAUCUAUGCAGAUUUCCACCAACUUCACCAAGGUCAGGAUGUAGCCCAACAGCCGCAGAGCUCCUAUUACAGCCAAUAGUUGGCUGAAUGUACUGUAGCCCUCUUUUCCCGAGAUGAUCAGCCUCCUUGAAAGACAAAAACAAAGAUACUAUGUCAGACUUCCUGUUCAACCCUUUAUGUACAUUCACCUAAUUAACCUUUCUGCUUAAUUUUAAAUGUCUUAAGAAUGUUCUUGCAGUUUAAUUAGAAGAAACUAAGUUCACACAGACCAGAAUAUUAGAUGUUACUUGUUCUCUUUAAGCAGGUUUUGCAGUAUCUCACCUGGAGAAGACAGCGGGGAACCUUAAAUUAGAAGAGGGAGUUAACUUAUCCCAAGACUAGGUCAGCAGGAGAAUGAGAAAUAGGCAAGAACAACCUAAUCCAAUUUUCCAUCCAUUUUCCUGCUCAACCACAUACCAUUCAAAAACCCUAAAAGGUUAUUCAAUGUCUAAUUUUGCAGGCAUUAGCCUUUAAAUCACAGCAAAGCAACUCAGAGAACCUGGGGAACAACCUGCCGUGUUCUGUUUCACCUCCACAAGCAUAGGUUUUCUCUCAGAGGGCUUCAGAAGAAGCAACACAAUGGCUAUGUAGUAGCACGGCUUUGUAUGGCAAAAUGUGCUCAGCAUCAGAAAAGGGAGUCUCACAGUGUUCUAGGUGUGAUUGUCUUAAGAAACCAGUGUUUCAGACAGCAGCUCUGAUUCCUGGCUUUUCUUCCUUCUGAGUUUACAUCCGUGGCAGGUGAAUUGUCCAUAGUAAGAAGAGAUGUGAAAAGCUGGGCAGAUGUGGUUUCACAGGUCUAAUCAAUAUAGAAAAGGUGAAGUGGAAAAGAGCAAACAGUAGUGUGAAGCAGCUUUGGUUCUCUUUAAGAAUAUUCUCUUCAAUCUGGGUAACAUGAGAUCCUUAGAAGAAAAUUCUAGAGAUAUUUGCUGGCAACCAUAAGACUUAUCUCCUUACUUAAAAGGAUUCAACCUUUGUGUCUCCUCAACUCCAUCCAUAAAAGUAAUGACAAAACCUUUAGGUUUGUACAAAAACUUACCUUUGUCUUACUGGCAUAAUUUCUAGUAUGUAGUAUACAAAAGUUUGAAAUCUUCAAGGAUUUAUUUACUGAAUGUAGGAGAUUUGUGAUAGUUCCAAGACUGAUGAGUCAUUACAUGGUGGUGCACAAUACAAAACACAAAACUAGAGCAUAAGAGUACAACAAUGUUUGAGUAGUCAUAUUCUAACAUCAGCUGGAUGCUGCUGGAAAAGAAAUGGGGCGGGUUUACUAUUUUUAAAGGAUAGCCAAUUUUUUAUUUAUUUGGUUUACAUUUUUUAAGUGACUCCAAAAUACUUCAUAGAACCAUAGGCUGUACACUGCCUGUAAUCUUAAAUGAGUCCAGAAGGACACAUAAAUAGAUAUAAAAUGCCAAUGAAGAAAUAACGUAAAAAAUUCCAUCCUCAAUUAAAAAAUGUGCAAAGUCAUUUAUGUUUGGGAAAAAAAAAUCUUAUGUUGCUUAAGACAUGAUAAAGACAAGGAAUUUAAAGACAAUCUGAACUUGGACAAAAAUCUCUAAACCUCCUACUUCAGUUGUAGCUUUGCAUAGCUAUAAACAAAGCAGGUGUGAUCGGGUUAAUUUCUGCUUUUGUACAGUUCCUUGGCAUAGUGCAACACAAUAGAUUAAGAAACUUUUGACUCUACCAGUAUCUUCCGGUGGAGAGCAACAGCAACAGGCUCCAUGCUGGCCUCUGUUCAGGUCAAGGUUCUCACAGUGCUUCACAAAUUAUUCACACCUCAAAAACAUAUCUGACCUGUGAGUAUUUAGCACUCAUUUCAGCCCAGCUGUUUUAAGUGUGUUGCAAAUCCUUCUUACUAAAUAUUUAGGUGACCAGGUGUAACCCCUGAGGAGCAUAUCUAAAAAAACCCCCAAGGUCCUGGUUUAGCUAUAAGCAAAAGUAGUUUCUUUGAACAUAGUAGGACCUCUCACAACCUCAGAAAGAUCCAAAAGGUGUUCUCAGUGGCAUGUUUGUUGAGGGACCCUUAAUAGGUAGAGCAGUUGGCUGGGGGCCACAUAAAGGUAUUCUUUUAAUGUUCAAAAGAUGUCAGAUUAAGAAACCUCUCUCUGUAAGUGACGUUGAAAACCUUUUUAGAAUAUAGGUGGCUGUUGGUUCUGCUUUGGAAGACUUUGAUAUAACAGAAACGAAACCACUUAACAGCUGACAUUAAAUAAUUAAGUACCUCAUCAGAAUAAAGGUUCAUCUGUAUGCAACUUUUAAGGUAAUUUAGAUGCUACUUGGUUGAACCUAUUAAAGAUGCAGAUUUUGUGGAUCUCUAAGGCUAGUAUUUUAGUUUCACAAAAUUUGUUCACAGUCUUUCAGAUUUUUCUGUUCUUGAUAGUUAUGUUCCCCCCUCCACAAGAGAUAUUAAAUUAAAGAAAAAGUACAAUACCUUACUCUCUAGACAAGAGGAAGUCUGUGCUAUUUAACAAGCUUAGGGAAUAAAGCCAUUGUUGAUUUAAAUAAAAGGAAAACUCCCAAUUGUUUUCAGUAAUGGCCAGGAUUAAACUUU